GCCAUUAGCUAGAUCAGCCUGCAAUUCACAGCUGGCAGCCCCACUGGAGCUCAGCAGGUGUGAGCCUGGUCAGUACCUGGAUGGGAGACCUCCUGGGAAAGCUCAGGUUGCUGCUGGAA
rnacentral:rRNA from 1 species